GGGGCCGAUCGGUUUCGACUUCGUACGCUGACGUAAGGGAAGCGGGUCGAGGAAGCCAGCGUCGUCUCGUUAAUCGUCGCUGGAAACCACAAGUGCGAAAUCUAAACGCGCUGACUUCGCCCUCGCUGCAUAAGCAGGGGUAGAAAGUCUGUCGGUCCGGGCGCGCGUCCGUCCCGGUCACCGGCAUCAUUUGAGGACGCUAGGCAUCUAGUUCGGCCACGGGGCUAGGUGCGACAUUCACAGUGGCUGGAGCCUGUCACACCAACUUGUUCGCGUGAUUGGUGAGGCUUGAGGAAAGGCACAGCGAACUGCACCCGGAGAAGCCUUACUGAACCGACGAAGGACCAGGGUUCGAUUCCCUGCGGCUCCACU
rnacentral:tmRNA from 1 species